AUUGAACGCUGGCGGCAGGCCUAACACAUGCAAGUCGAGCGGAUGAAGGGAGCUUGCUCCUGGAUUCAGCGGCGGACGGGUGAGUAAUGCCUAGGAAUCUGCCUGGUAGUGGGGUAUAACGUCCGGAAACGGGCGCUAAUACCGCAUACGUCCUGAGGGAGGAAGUGGGGGAUCUUCGGACCUCACGCUAUCAGAUGAGCCUAGGUCGGAUUAGCUAGUUGGUGGGGUAAAGGCCUACCAAGGCGACGAUCCGUAACUGGUCUGAGAGGAUGAUCAGUCACACUGGAACUGAGACACGGUCCAGACUCCUACGGGAGGCAGCAGUGGGGAAUAUUGGACAAUGGGCGAAAGCCUGAUCCAGCCAUGCCGCGUGUGUGAAGAAGGUCUUCGGAUUGUAAAGCACUUUAAGUUGGGAGGAAGGGCAGUAAGUUAAUACCUUGCUGUUUUGACGUUACCAACAGAAUAAGCACCGGCUAACUUCGUG
rnacentral:rRNA from 1 species